rnacentral:lncRNA from 1 species
UUCUUUUUUCCUUUAUAUUUUUCCUUUUCAUUUUUCUCUGGGAACCUAUUUCAUUUGUUUCUUUUUCACAAUCUCUUUCUAUAACAUAUGUUCUUAGAAUUACUACCCCAAACUUUAAAAGUUUCUAUCUCAUAGCAACCAUAAACUUAAAUUUACACAUGUUUUUUCUCUAGAUCUUAUAACUAUCUAUCUCUAACAGAAUUCAAUGAUUAUAAGAUAUAUUGUUAAAA